rfam:Anaerobacillus arseniciselenatis strain DSM 15340 Ga0137926_129, whole genome shotgun sequence.
AUAUGACACAGCUCUACGGUUGCCGGUCUGGCACCUACAGUUGGUCGUGGCGCAAUGAC